rnacentral:rRNA from 1 species
GACGAACGCUGGCGGCGUGCUUAACACAUGCCAGUCGAACGGAAAGGCCCUGCUUUUGUGGGGUGCUCGAGUGGCGAACGGGUGAGUAACACGUGAGUAACCUGCCCUUGACUUUGGGAUAACUUCAGGAAACUGGGGCUAAUACCGGAUAGGAGCUCCUGCUGCAUGGUGGGGGUUGGAAAGUUUCGGCGGUUGGGGAUGGACUCGCGGCUUAUCAGCUUGUUGGUGGGGUAGUGGCUUACCAAGGCUUUGACGGGUAGCCGGCCUGAGAGGGUGACCGGCCACAUUGGGACUGAGAUAAGGCCCAGACUCCAACGGGAGGCAGCAGUGGGGAAUAUUGCACAAUGGGCGGAAGCCUGAUGCAGCAACGCCGCGUGCGGGAUGACGGCCUUCGGGUUGUAAACCGCUUUCGCCUGUGACGAAGCGUGAGUGACGGUAAUGGGUAAAGAAGCACCGGCUAACUACGUG